rnacentral:rRNA from 1 species
GACAGAGGGUGCAAACGUUGUUCGGAAUUACUGGGCGUAAAGCGUGCGCAGGCGGCUUUGCAAGACAGAUGUGAAAUCCCCGGGCUCAACCUGGGAACUGCAUUUGUGACUGCAAGGCUGGAGUGCGGCAGAGGGGGAUGGAAUUCCGCGUGUAGCAGUGAAAUGCGUAGAGAUGUGGAGGAAUACCGAUGGCGAAGGCAGCCCCCUGGGAUAACACUGACGCUCAUGCACGAAAGCGUGGGGAGCAAACAGG